rnacentral:rRNA from 1 species
AACGAACGCUGGCGGCAGGCCUAACACAUGCAAGUCGAACGCCCCGCAAGGGGAGUGGCAGACGGGUGAGUAACACGUGGGAACGUGCCCAAAGGUACGGAACAACUCCGGGAAACUGGAGCUAAUACCGUAUGUGCCCGAAAGGGGAAAGAUUUAUCGCCUUUGGAUCGGCCCGCGUCUGAUUAGCUAGUUGGUGGGGUAACGGCCUACCAAGGCGACGAUCAGUAGCUGGUCUGAGAGGAUGACCAGCCACACUGGGACUGAGACACGGCCCAGACUCCUACGGGAGGCAGCAGUGGGGAAUAUUGGACAAUGGGCGAAAGCCUGAUCCAGCCAUGCCGCGUGAGUGAUGAAGGCCUUAGGGUUGUAAAGCUCUUUCGCCAGGGACGAUAAUGACGGUACCUGGAUAAGAAGCCCCGGCUAACUUCGUGCCAGCCGCCGCUGUAAGAC